GGGGGUGACAGGUCUCGACUUUGGAUGUCGAGGCAGGUGAAGCGGGCCGAGGAAGGCGACGAUGAUCUCGUUAACCAACAACGUCGCACAACACACAAGCGCCGACAACAGUCCGCGCGCCUUCGCUCUCGCUGCUUAGCAGCUAGUUCGAGGCUGUCAGCCCGGGAGCGCCUCCGGCCCGGAAUCUGGCAUCGCAAGGAGGAUCACCGUUCAACCCGGUCACCGGGUGGAGCGGAAAAUCCAACAGUGACUGAGCUCGUUCCCGACUUGCUGGCGUGAUCGGGAGGGCCGAGAAAAUCACAGUCAGCUGCGCCCGGAGAAGCCCUGCCAAGGUGCCAGAGGACGCGGGUUCGAUUCCCGCCACCUCCACCG
rnacentral:tmRNA from 1 species